AACUGAUGGAAUAUGGUUCUUUUAUGAUUUUUAUAUAAGUUUGUUUCCCUAAAUCGGCACCUUAUUUUUUGUCAACUCUCUUUAUUCUCAAUGAACUUUUUCCUUAAAGAUAAACUGUUCAAACUUCAAUGCUUUAAAUUUUUUCAAAAAAUAGGUUAUUACAGUAUAUUUAUACCUCGGAAAUGAAUUGAUUCAAAUUUAAUUGAUUAUCUCUUUUUCCAUUAGCUUACUAUUUCAAAUAGUGCCUAAUUUAUUUACUUUUAACAAGAAAGACAUUUUAAUCGAUAUGGAUUUAAAUUAGUUACAAAGGAAUUGGUAUGGUUUCAUUUUAUUAAUUCACUUUUACGACUUUAUUAAUCCCAUUUUCUUUUACAUUAUUGACAUUAAUGACAAUUGUCAUCUUUUAACAUAUUUAUUUUCCGUAAUCGUCAAUUUCUUUCCGAAUAUUUACGCUCACUUUUAGAGCGUGAAAGUAGGUAAAGCGAGCAAGCAUUGGUGAAUAUCGAUUUGUAUAAGCAAAUUUGUCGUAAAAUUAAAAUAUGAACGAAGAGGGACAAGGGGACAAUGCCGGCGAUAUUGAUCGCGAGGAAAUAUUGAAAACUUUGUACUCGUGGAAAAGCACGGUCGAGGAAACGAUCGAAACGGUUAAGCAGGACACGGGCGAUACAAUAGUUAUGAAAGCAAUCAGGAAGCUACAAAUGGAGAAAAAGGAUAAAGCGAAUCCGUAUUUGUGUUUUGUGGCGUUUCUUGUUUUUUGUAAUGCUUUUUAUCAUCUAUAUUUAUUUGGGGAAUUUUGAGAAAUAAAUAAAAACUAAGUAAUUAAUUAAA